GAAGCAUGGCUUCGCAGUGCGCACACGGGGAGCUUGUUCCCAGAAAUGCUGCGAGGAAAGUCCCCGUGCCUUGGUGCGGAGAGUGCGAGUGG
rnacentral:RNase_MRP_RNA from 1 species